rnacentral:misc_RNA from 1 species
CGUGGAAGAAAUGUGUCCUGCCAAGAUUGAAGGAAACACUGAAUAAUUGGAUAUACAAUUCCUACUACCCUAAAACAAAAUAAUCCAUCCCAUUUUUCUUCUUGGGAAAAAUUUACAUCAACCUGUUCUAUGAACUCAAGAUAUGAACACGAUGAGUCUCACUUGUUUAUCCCGAUUUCAAUUGGAAUUACAAUCCAAAUUCGAGGACUCUAAUGCCACAGGAUAUUAUAACUUAUUGGAAUAAUCAUUUUUUUACGAAGGGAACCCUAGGUCAAUUCAUAUCAAAUUAAACAAAUCAGAACAAAUCUUGUCGUGAUCGCAGAUCAAAAGACAAAGGAAACCCUAAUCCACGUACAGGAAAUUAGACAGAAACCCAAUAGACAAAAACCAACAAAAGCACAACAAAGAGCAAAAAUAAAGCAAACCCAGAGAUGAAAAAUGAGAAAAUAGAAAAGGGACCUACAGAAACGUAGGAGCAGGUGGG